rnacentral:rRNA from 1 species
GACAGAGGCCUCAAGCGUUAGGCGGAAUCACUGGGCUUAAAGCGUGUGUAGGCGGAUCGUUAAGUGUCUUGUGAAAUCCCACGGCUCACCCGUGGAACUGCUGGGCAUACUGGCGAUCUUGGGCCAACUAGGGGCAACUGGAACAAGCGGUGGGAGCGGUGAAAUGCGUAGAUAUCGCUUGGAACGCCAAAGGUGAAAACAGGUUGCUGGGGUUGUGCCGACGCUGAGACACGAAAGCCAGGGGAGCAAACGGG